rnacentral:rRNA from 1 species
GUGGGGAAUUUUGGACAAUGGGCGCAAGCCUGAUCCAGCAAUGCCGCGUGUGUGAAGAAGGCCUUCGGGUUGUAAAGCACUUUUGGCAGGAAAGAAAUAGCGCGUGCUAAUACCAUGCGCGAAUGACGGUACCUGCAGAAUAAGCACCGGCUAACUACGUGCCAGCAGCCGCGGUAAGACGUAGGGUGCAAGCGUUAAUCGGAAUUACUGGGCGUAAAGCGUGCGCAGGCGGUUUUGUAAGACAGGUGUGAAAUCCCCGGGCUAAACCUGGGAACUGCACUUGUGACUGCAAGGCUAGAGUGUGUCAGAGGGAGGUGGAAUUCCGCGUGUAGCAGUGAAAUGCGUAGAGAUGCGGAGGAACACCGAUGGCGAAGGCAGCCUCCUGGGAUAACACUGACGCUCAGGCACGAAAGCGUGGGGAGCAAACAGGAUUAGAUACCCGGGUAGUCC